AGAUAGCUUGUUCUCCCCGAAAUAGCUUUAGGGCUAGCGUUAAGCGUUUAGUAACGGAGGUAGAGCACUGAAUGGGUAAGGGGGCUUAUUGCUUACCGAACCUAAUCAAACUCCGAAUGCCGUUACUCCAAGCUUAGCAGUCGGACUCCGGGGGAUGAGCUUCGGGGUCGAGAGGGAAAGAGCCCAGAUCAACAGCUAAGGUCCCCAAAUUUGUACUAAGUGGGAAACGAGGUGAGGUUACUGAAACAACCAGGAGGUUGGCUUAGAAGCAGCCACCCUUUAAAAAGUGCGUAAUAGCUUACUGGUCGAGUGAUCUUGCGCGGAAAAUUCAACGGGGCUAAGUACAAUACCGAAGCUUUGGAGCCACACUAGGUGUGGUUGGUAGGGGAGCGUUCUGCCAGCUGAGAAGGUUGACCGGAAGGACAGCUGGAGCGGGCAGAAGUGAGAAUGCAGACAUGAGUAGCGUAAAACACGUGAGAACCGUGUUCGCCGUAUAUCUAAGGUUUCCGACGCCAGGUCAAUCCGCGUCGGGUUAGUCAGGACCUUAGCCGAGGCCGAGAGGCGUAGGCGAUGGACAGCCGGUCAACAUUCCGGCACCACUUAAGAAGAGUGAUGGAGGGACGCAACGAGGUAGGCCAGCCCGCGAUUGGUUGUGCGGGUGCAUUGUAUGUCAGCCGAUGAGGACUAUAGGAAAAUCCGUAGACCGAGGUGAGAUACCGUGACGAGCCCCUGAGGCAUAAGUGAGUUGAGCCUUGUUGCCAAGAAAAGCUUCUAAACGAUGAAUCUUGAGUGCCUGUACCGCAAACCGACACUGGUAGAUGGGUAGAGUAUACCAAGGCGAACGGGAGAACCUUUGUUAAGGAACUAGGCAAUUUGGCCCCGUAACUUCGGGAUAAGGGGUGCCCUCUAUGGUGAGUGAAUAAUGAGCCACGGAGGGCCGCAGUGAAUUGGUUCUAGGGACUGGUUACCAAAACCACAGGUCUCUGCAAAGCCGUAAGGCGAUGUAUAGGGGCUGACACCUGCCCAGUGCCGGAAGGUUAAAGGGAGAGGUUAGGCGCAAGCCGAAGCUUUGAACUGAAGCCCCGGUGAACGGCGGCCGUAACUAUAACGGUCCUAAGGUAGCGAAAUUCAUUGUCGGGUAAGUUCCGACCCGCACGAAAGGUGUAACAACUAGAACAGUGUCUCAACAAGGGACCCGGCGAAAUUGAAAUGGCCGUGAAGAUGCGGCCUACCCGCAGUAGGACAAAAAGACCCCGUGGAGCUUUACUGCAGCUUGACAUUGAGUUAGGAUUUUAUUUGUGUAGGAUAGGUGGGAGGCUAUGAAGCUAGGACGCUAGUCUUGGUGGAGCCAUCGGUGAAAUACCACCCUGAUAAAAUUUUGACCCUAACCCCAUUCCGUGAUCCGGAUGGGGGACCGUGUCAGGUGGGCAGUUUGACUGGGGCGGUCACCUCCUAAAGAGUAACGGAGGUGCCCAAAGGUUCCCUCAGGCUGAAUGGAAACCAGCCUAAGAGUGUAAAGGCAUAAGGGAGCUUAACUGCAAGGCCAACGCGCCGAGCAGAUACGAAAGUAGGGCUUAGUGAUCCCACGAUUCCGUGUGGAAGGGUCGUGGCUCAUCGGAUAAAAGCUACCCCGGGGAUAACAGGCUAGUCAGGUCCAAGAGUUCAUAUCGACGACCUGGCUCGGCACCUCGAUGUCGGCUCAUCGCAUCCUGGGGCUGGAUAAGGUCCCAAGGGUCGGGCUGUUCGCCCGUUAAAGCGGUACGCGAGCUGGGUUCAGACCGUCGUGAGACAGGUCGGUCUCUAUCCACUGUGGGCGUAAGUGAUUUGAACAGAGCUGCUCCUAGUACGAGAGGACCGGAGUGGACAGACCUCUGGUGUGCCAGUUGUCGUGCCAACGGCAUAGCUGGGUAGCUACGUCUGGCAGAGAUAACCGCUGAAAGCAUCUAAGUGGGAAACUCGCUGUAAGAUUAGAUCACUUUUAUCGUCAAGAUAGUAAGAUCGCAGGAAGACCACCUGCUUGAUAGGCAGAAUGUGUAAGUGCAGCAAUGCAUUGAGCUAAUCUGUACUAAUGAUCGAGGGCUUCGGC
rnacentral:rRNA from 1 species